UAUAAAUCGCUGAAUUCUUUAUAUAGAGAAGCGGAGGAACCAUUUAACUGGGGUGAAUUCUUUAAGAACGGGCAAAUCCCUUAGCCCGAACCCGUCAGCUAACUUCGUAAGCGUGGAAGGGGG
rnacentral:sRNA from 1 species